rnacentral:rRNA from 1 species
AUUGAACGCUGGCGGAAUGCUUUACACAUGCAAGUCGAACGGCAGCACGGGUGCUUGCACCUGGUGGCGAGUGGCGAACGGGUGAGUAAUGCACCGGAACGUACCCAGUAAUGGGGGAUAACUAUCCGAAAGGAUAGCUAAUACCGCAUACGCCCUGAGGGGGAAAGCGGGGGAUCGUAAGACCUCGCGUUAUUGGAGCGGCCGAUGCCGGAUUAGCUAGUUGGUGGGGUAAAGGCCCACCAAGGCGACGAUCCGUAGCUGGUCUGAGAGGACGACCAGCCACACUGGAACUGAGACACGGUCCAGACUCCUAUGGGAGGCAGCAGUGGGGAAUUUUGGACAAUGGGCGAAAGCCUGAUCCAGCCAUUCCGCGUGAGUGAAGAAGGCCUUCGGGUUGUAAAGCUCUUUCGCAAGGAAAGAAAACUUACUUACUAAUACUAGGUGAGGUUGACGGUACCUUGAUAAGAGGCACCGGCUAACUACGUGCCAGCCGCCGCCGUAACAC